GGAUUGCUGGAUCAAACGGUAAUACUAUUUUCAUGAGGGUGAAAGGUGAGACCCAUCCCUGAAGAAUUUUUAAACAGGGGCAUGGAUGUGACCCAAUUUGCUACAAGCAAAGUCCUCCUGGUAGCAGGAAUGAGAUGGUUUGCUGCAGGGCAAGACCAUAGGGCAAGGACCCCAGUCAGUGGUGUUGCAGGAAUCCAGGUGAAAAUGAGAGCCUGAAUGCAACAGUGUCCCUGAGUAUGAAGAAAAGGGGGCUGAUUAUUAUAUUUCCAGGUCUCGCUUGCUAAGUUAUAUGGAGGCACUUGGCGUUAGGAAAUGUACUUGUAACUUGUGGACACAGUCAUGGAGGAGGGCUUCUACCACUUUUUUUCUACUCCCUGUCCUCCUCCAGUUCCUCAUCUCCCUGCACUUAAUAAUUUUCCAUUUUCAAACAUCAGGAUACACCCUUGAGUGCACAUACAAGGAAGUCAAUGUUAGUGAGAAUUCCAAAUCCUAUAAAUGCUCUCCACAUCCAAACCAUAGUCAAAUACCACUAAAAACUAUUUGAAAAAAAUGUUUUUACUCAGCAAUUCCAUGACUAGCCAUUGGAAGGAAUCUUACCAGAGAAAAAUACUAAUAAAUAAAAAGCACACAAAGGGAACACUUAUAAAGCUGUUUUAGUCUAAGAUUGGGGAAAGCAGGACAGAAAAAGAUGAGAAGGAAAAAUAUUUAAACACAUACUUUAUAAAAUAUUUUGUAAUGAAGGGAAAAUGUGUAAUUUCUAAUGAAAAAAAAAUUGCAAAAUUCUUAGGAACUGAGUUAGGUACCAGAAAACUGCAGAAGGCUUUGAUGACCUGAAUCAUUGCCAGGAUACGGUAGAGACAUUUAUACGCUUGAUCUAAAUCAGGCAACUUAAAUCUUUGUGAUAAUCCACUACAGCAAAGCGUACCAGUAUUGUUAGUCUGAACCUCAGGAACUGAGAUGAUAUCUCUUGACCUUGAUUUUAUAACUAUGUUUUCCCUAGGUUAAAUUGGGGAGAGGUGCCUUUGCAAAAGUUCAAAAGUAUCUUGUUUCCUAAUAAGUUUCAGCAUCUUUCCUUUGACCUCAUUUUCGGCUAUAAGACCAUGCUCCACUUUAUCUAUUAAUACUUCUAGAACUUAGCAUCUGAUUGAUUUGUGAAUCCUACACUAGCUAUCCACACUUUUAAGAACAACUCCAAAUCCAGUGUAUAACUCUUUAACAAAAUUGACUUAGGAAAGAGGCAAACUAUUUUGGCAGUCUGAAAGGUUGUAGCUUUGACUAUAAGGAAAGGAAAAUUUAAAAAGAAAAUCCUUUUCUGUGUCAUAGUGUUCUUAGUAGACAGAAAAAUGGUCCAUUCUUUGAAGAUAAAAUGUAGAGUCAGAUUAAGGAAGGGAAACAUCUGCCAAUAGAAACAGCAAUGAGAAUUAGUUACAUAUCCUGGAAAAAUAAGGUCUAGCCCAACAAUGUUGAUAUUACUUAGUAAGAUUGGACACCAGAAUUGGCAAAAACAUUUCUUAUUCAGCUAUUUUAUGGAACUCCUAUGAAAAUAAUUGAAAACAGAACCUUUAAAUUGCUUCAUCAGAGAGAAUGCACAUUCUUUCUCUUCUACCUUCAACAUUUUGCAAAUCUAUAGAAAUAGCUUGAAAGGAGAAUACAUUUAAAAAAAAAUCUCAAUAUGUGGAACAGAUAAGGAAGUUAACUGUGAAGCAAGGUUUUAUAUAGCAAACUUUUUCCCACUGACUUUCUUCUCAAAAUGGAAUGAAUAUAUUCUGCUGCUUCAAAACAGAAAUGAUUUCCAAAAGGGAAUAAAAAUUGAACCCAAGAAUGAAACACAUCCUCUCUAUAGCUUACUUUUAAGAUAAAUUAAAUUGGCUAUGUUACUUAUUUUAACACAAAAAUACAUAAGCCAACAGUGAAAAUUACAGAAAUGUGGAGUCAUCGUGUGAGGGUGUAAGGCAUUAGGCUACGGUCUUUGCAAGCAUCUGAAGAUUAACAACGUGAUCCUAAUUCCUAUGGACACAACUUUGUUCCAAUUCAAAUUUCCAUGUUAUGGCUUUUUAAAGCCUCCUGUCAUACAAACCUCUACCAAUUCAGCUGCAUUGAAUUUAGUGCUGAGCUAUCGCUAAACCGUUUAAGACUAAGUUAUUAGCACUAAGUGAAUGAUGCACUGGGCAAUGAUGGUUAUUUACCAGGGUGCUGUAUUAAAGUGUUAUCAGCAAGCCUUUCAUUAUCUGCAACUUCCCCCCUUUUAAGACUAAGAAUCAAGGAAUGCUAAUAGCAAUUUAAUAUUGCUGUACUAUCUAAGCAUGGGCUCUAAGUGGGAGCAUAUUUCUGGUUUUUUGUUUUGUUUUGUUUUCUAUAACUGACACAUUUAUUUCCAGUUGCCAUAAUAAAGAAGUUAGGAGGCAAAGGAACCAUAUUUUUUGUUUCAUCUCCAAUUUAUUUCUUCCUUGCUGUUUGAUUUUAGUGAUGAUUCUUCAAUAUCCUUGCACCUUAGCUUCCAUCACAUCACAUGAAUUAAAUGAAUUAAUACAUAGAAAGCAAUUGUAAGAGUGCUUGAUACUUAAUAAGCACUAAAAAGAGUUGACUUGGUAUCCUGCUUUGCUUCUAUUUUAUUCAAUUGCCUAUUAUAUCUAUUAAUAUCAACUCUUUUAACAUAAACUAUUCUUCGACCAUAUUAAUUAUUCCAAAGGUUAAUUUAGAAAAUAAAUUGCCAGAGUUCCUGCUGUGGCACACAGGUUAAGAAUCUGGUGUUGGUCUCUGUGGAGGCAUGGGUUCGAUCCCUGGUCCAGUGCAGUGGGUUAAGGAUCUAGCAUUGUGGCAGCUGCGACAUAGGUUGUAACUGCAGCUUGGAUUUGAUCCCUGGCCUGGAAACUUCCAUAAGCUGUGA
rnacentral:lncRNA from 9 species